CCUACGGGUGGCUGCAGUGGGGAAUAUUGGACAAUGGGGGGAACCCUGAUCCAGCCAUGCCGCGUGUGUGAAGAAGGCCCUCGGGUUGUAAAGCACUUUCAGUGAGGAAGAACGCCUGGUGGUUAAUACCCAUCAGGAAAGACAUCACUCACAGAAGAAGCACCGGCUAACUCCGUGCCAGCAGCCGCGGUAAUACGGAGGGUGCGAGCGUUAAUCGGAAUUACUGGGCGUAAAGCGCGCGUAGGUGGCUUGAUAAGCCGGUUGUGAAAGCCCCGGGCUCAACCUGGGAACGGCAUCCGGAACUGUCAAGCUAGAGUGCAGGAGAGGAAGGUAGAAUUCCCGGUGUAGCGGUGAAAUGCGUAGAGAUCGGGAGGAAUACCAGUGGCGAAGGCGGCCUUCUGGACUGACACUGACACUGAGGUGCGAAAGCGUGGGUAUCAAACAGGAUUAGAUACCCUGGUAGUC
rnacentral:rRNA from 1 species